rnacentral:rRNA from 1 species
CGAUAACGGCGUCGAGCGGCGGACGGGUGAGUAAUGCCUAGGAAAUUGCCCUGAUGUGGGGGAUAACCAUUGGAAACGAUGGCUAAUACCGCAUGAUGCCUACGGGCCAAAGAGGGGGACCUUCGGGCCUCUCGCGUCAGGAUAUGCCUAGGUGGGAUUAGCUAGUUGGUGAGGUAAGGGCUCACCAAGGCGACGAUCCCUAGCUGGUCUGAGAGGAUGAUCAGCCACACUGGAACUGAGACACGGUCCAGACUCCUACGGGAGGCAGCAGUGGGGAAUAUUGCACAAUGGGCGCAAGCCUGAUGCAGCCAUGCCGCGUGUGUGAAGAAGGCCUUCGGGUUGUAAAGCACUUUCAGUCGUGAGGAAGGUGGUGGAGUUAAUAGCUCUAUCAUUUGACGUUAGCGACAGAAGAAGCACCGGCUAACUCCGUGCCAGCAGCCGCGGUAAUACGGAGGGUGCGAGCGUUAAUCGGAAUUACUGGGCGUAAAGCGCAUGCAGGUGGUUUGUUAAGUCAGAUGUGAAAGCCCGGGGCUCAACCUCGGAAUA